UGGCAAUGAACCUUUCAUUUUCUUCAGCCUUAUAUUCACUGCUGCCUGUGUUCACUGCAUUCAAUUUACAGGCUUCAUAGACUAAUCAGAGUGAGAACAAAAUCACUAAAACUGAAACCAAGUAAUCAGCAUCAUCUUUUGUUUUGAACAGUUGGAAAUGUGCAUAAAAUGUAGCUCUCCUCAAUGUAUUUAGGGGCUGAGGUGUGAGAAAGUGAUAAAAAAGAAAAAUUCAGUGAUACCUUAUUUUGGUUUUGUUUCGGGUUUUUUUUUUUUUUUCAUGGAUAGAUUUCAGCUAGAACCCCAAAACUCUGGUCUUAAUAUUCAGCAAUUCAUAACAUUUUGGCCAAAGUCUUCCUGUUAUUCGAGGUGAUGACAGCUCAGUUUUUGACAGCAAUGGGUCCAAUUGGUUCUUAAGAAAGCCUAGUGUGGUAGAAAAUGGACAGUUGGCCAGAGGGAAAUAAAAGUUCUUGGUACUAUUUGUGUAUGAAUGAGUGUAAGCAGUGAAGGAAAAUUACUUAACAUCAGCAGAGAAUUUGCCAAAAUUUUGUUGCAAUAUAACCUUCAGUACUGUACAGUACUGUAAGGGCAGAGACACCACCACAAUCCCUCCCUCCCAGUGCAUCAGAGAGACAACAUAAGUAGAGCAUUUUGAGAUGCUGAUUCAGUUUCUUACUUAGAUGAUCGCAGAAAAAAAACUGACAACAUUUUCACCAAAAAUGCAUCUGAUUGAUUCAGUGAUUCCAAAGUCAUUUGGCCAGAUCUAAAACUAACAAAGAUUUCCAAGUUUAUAAGGAACUGAACAUGAGGAAUCCAAGGCACUAUUUUCACUACAGAGUUAUCAGAGGGGGAAUGUGGUAAUACCACAAAAGCAGCCAACUGCAAAUGUCAAUGCCUGUAAGUGAAGUAAAGCAGUUCUCAACUAUGAGUGCCCUAUCCAACACAGCUGUGCUUACUGCCCUGUGAACUUUUUUUUAUCUCUGAAAACAUCUCAUUUUGUUAUUUUCUGUUCCUAGGAGCUCAGUGUGCGGGUGACUUCUGCAUGACAACAUGUAAUGCAGAUUCCCUGAAACUGUACUUUGCAUAUGGUAAAAGUUCAAUAAACAAGGCACAUGUU
ensembl:lncRNA